GAUGAAUCCUAAAAGGCAAGAAAUAUUACAGCUGGAAGACUAAACAUUCCCUUGAUUAUAGAGCUACAGGAUUUGGGCACAGAGAUGGAAAGAAUCUUGGCUGUGAUGGUAACACUUAUACUGCUACUGAAAUUUGGUGAGUUUUUAAAUCCUAAAGGCUGAUUUUCAAUGGCUGUUGAGAUUUCUUUGUACUUAUACUUUUACAGAGAUCGCAGCGUUCAGUUAGUUUAGCCAGAGAAUAACUUUGAAAAACUUUUAUGUCAUUACCCCUGUUGUACAGAUGGAGAAACAGCAUUUUUUUAAGGGCCUGACCCAAGGCAGCACCAGGGCUCUGUGGUCUUUGCCUUCCUCUCUGGAGUAAGUAGCUGAGCUGGUGAUAGUCGCAAGUGUCUGAUGCUUCAGACCUGCUGCUUAACUAUUCUUCAAGCCAUCUCUCCAGCGUAACCUCUUUAUGGACCUUUUAUAGGAAAGAACCCUGGGAUCACAUCUUUUCAAUCAGUUUGUGCAGCUGCAGCUAAGUUCCCAGGAUAUGAAGAGCCAGCCUGCCACGUUAGAUGCUUUUUGGCAUUCUGCAUCACACUUCAUUGUUUGCAAUACAAUAGGGCAGUCUGUUACAGCAACACCAGUAAAAAAGUCCCAUUUUCUGCUGGUCUAACUCCACAGGCAUCCACAGACUGGGCUGGGAAGGGAGUUUGGCUCAACACCACCGAACUCAUCCUCAGUCAACCUCAGUCAAAACCACAUCUGUUCAGUUCCUCUCUGGACUUCUUGUGUCUCUGAGACAGCGGCUGUGCACUGGGUGAGAGGGUUUGAGCUGUCCUUGGGAGACACGCUGCUACUGAUGAAAGCUCGUGCUCUGGGACGUCGUGGGGCGUGCAUGAACUCAACCAAGUUCAGAUCAGAACCCCAGAUAGCAUCAGAGGAUUUUCUUGAUCAGUGGUCAAGAUUUGUUGUUUGUAGCAGGCUUCAGAUGAAUGCUUGAACGAGGGUCUGAUGAGGUGCAGGUUAGAUGCUGGUUUCUGUUGUGCUGCGUUAAAGCAGGAAUCAGUCCGGUUACACGAGGUCACAGAGGUAACUGUCCUUCAGUUCUCCUCCAGCUGCACUUUUCUGAGCGUCUCCUGAUUUUUGCUUUGAAUGCAAGCAAACAGAAAUAGCCCCGUAAAUAAUUAGCUGAAAUCUCCAAUUCCACAUGGCUGAGCAAUAGGGGCUGGAAAGUGGCUUGUUUCCAGCACUUGUGAAGGGAUAUUAUGAAUCCCCAGAGGUCUGCUCAGAACUGAGGCCAGGUUAACAUUUGCCACCUUCCAUUUGGAAUUGGUUCUUGGAUGAUGUUGCACUGGGCCCAAGUUUGCUCCAAAUUUUUGCAAGUCUUGGCAGGCCUCCAGCUCAGCCUGGGAUGAAUUUCAGCCCUGAGGCUGUACCCCAAAGUGAGCUUUCCUAUUUUGAGAUGUCAUUUUUUACGUUUUGCACUGUUCUUGUAAAAAUCAGCCAGGAAACUGAAUUUUCUUUUUCCUCCUGCCUCCUUCCCUCUCUCUCUCAGCUUCUGUGCUGUGCUGGCUCCUUGAUAGUGGUCAUAUGUGUGGUGGGAACCCCAAAUCUCACAGAAGGAGAGAAACCCUUUGACGUGGAUCUUUAGAUUAAUUACUAGUUUCUUUAAUAGUCUCAAAGCCUUUAAUGAAGGGCAGUGCAGACUCUACCACCUGUGUCCAAGGAAAGGAAAGGCUUCUGCCAUCUGCUCCCUCAGCCUAAAACUAAUGAGUGCAUUAACUUCCAAAGAGAGAUUCAUAAACUUCCACUGCCUGAGGAUGCUACGAGCUGUUGAUGUUUAAAGAGUAGCCUCCAAAGAUUGCUUAGCCAACUGUGCUCCAUUUUAUUUAGAAAAAAAACAAAACAUCAGAAGGUUCCCAUUACUCACAAACAGGUAUGUGAUUUUUCUGGGGGUGAUAGCUGUGUUAUAGUAGAUUAAAUCCAUCAUUUACACUGCUCAAUAAGCAAGGCUAGCAAGCUCACUCCUACCACUCUGGCAGAAGAUGUAAAAAAUAACAAAUACAGCGGGUGUGAAGCCCGUGUCCCCCUGCACAAAUGCAUGAUGUGUUUGGAUGUGGGAGCAGCAGCGUGGCUGUUUGUGUCCUGAUGCAAAUGAUGACCCAAGUAGCGGUGAAACCAGGAGGGUGCUAAGGACUCACACAAGGAAGCAAGUCUCAGGAGCAGGAACAGAAGCCACUGGUCCUAGCCUGCUCUCAAUUUAACCACUGGGAAAGGCUUUUUUCCAUAGCACCAGAGCCCUGCAUUAAUUUUCUCUGGAUCCUUCUAGUCAAAUUAGAUUUGUCCUCUCUUUGAGUGUGUAAUUAGUCUCUAUUUAACAUGCAAGUGCAAUGUUUUAAAUGAGAAGCCUUGAUUUGUGGAAAGAGGCAUUGACGUUCAAUCCGUGUUUAAAUUCAUGGGCAAACUGCCUGUGGCCUCAGAUACAAGCUGAAGGAGUCAUUGAAGUCCUCAUGGAGGCUGACACCGAGGGCUUGAAUCACUGUGUGCUUACCCCCAUAAACUGGUGGUGUAAAUUCAGAUUAAUGCAGGGGUGACUCGGAUACUUUGCCUUUAACCCAUGUUGUUUGGCUGGUGGGGUGCACACUGAUGUGCCUGCUCUGAACGUCCUAGCUUCUUGUGCCUUGCAUCUCAGCUGCAUGCAGCCCUGAACUGUUUAAUGUGUAUUUUUCUCAUUUUUCAACAACGUUUCCAAAUUUUCUGAGUUGCUCUGUGCAGCUUUAGCCACGUGGUGGCCAUUAAGGACAGCAGCAGUCACAUACUGCAUUCUCGGGCGCAAAUUUAUCCCGGGGCACCGUGGGAUGCAGUUAUCGGGAACCAUUCUGGUUUUUGGCAGGUGCCAGUUAGGGAAGGGAGGCAAAUUUCCCUGCUGCGUUGCCUGGUGAAACGUGAGGCCAUGUGAAGUUGCUGAACACCUGCUUCCUUGCAAAGGGAAAGGGCUGAAACUGAUCUCCGGUGCCCUGUAGGCGCUGCUGAAAAGAGGAGGGAGAUGGGGUCAGAUGGGUAACUGCUGAAAUGAGCGAUGUGCUAAGUGCUCAGCAUUGGAGCUUUGUUCACAGCAGGUUUAAUGAAAUUUAAAAAAUGAAAGAAAUCAAAUUUUUGUUGUUCCCAUUUUGGAGCUGACAUUCUCCUAGAGGCUGUGAUGCUGAGCACUAAUGCAAAGAACCGCACGGCAGAGGCCACUUGCUCUAAGCAUUCUUUAUUAUGUGCAAUACACAACUUUCAGAGCGUGGUCUGCUCACCCCUUAUUUGUUAACCAACCGCACAUAAACAGAUGUCUGGGUAGCAUUCUGGUGAUAUUUGAGAGGCUGCUGACCCAGCAGCGGCUGGUAGAGGAGCUGGGGAAAGUGACACAGCCUAUAAAGAUGAAAACGAUAAAACACAGUUUUAAAUCUCAUUUUGGAAGAGACAUAACACCAUUUCUGAGGGGCAGAGGUUAGUUUUUUCCCUCAUAUGAAGGUGCCUGGUGCUUUAAAGAAAAUAUUGAGCAUUUUUUGUAAGAUCCUCAUCUUCCAUACUCAGUGGAGAGGUGCCCUGGGAAUACUGAUGAUCAGCCCAGCGAAGGGCCCCGUUCUGUCAUAGCAACUGACUCUAGCUAAGCAGUUGGAUUUGUUGUGACUUAAAAUCCUAUUGACAACUGGGAGAGAGACUUGCCAAGAGAUAAUAAAGAAUAAAAGUUGAAGAAUGUUCUUCAGCAAUUACCUUGGCUGCUUUUAGUAGCAGAAGAAUGAAUAAUUUUGCAUGCAGGCAAAGUUGCACAGAGAUGAUUUUGUCCUACAGCUUUAAUUGCUUUAAUUUUUUGUGAGGUCUCUGUACAUUUUUCUUUUCAAAGUCUAUUUUCCUUUUCACUAUUUGCAAGGCGAGAUUGACCAUGACACAGAAUGAGCAUGUAGUGCUUUCAGAAGUAGCUUGACAUGCCCUGUUCAUCCUUUGAUUUCAAGGGCACACAGAUAGAACUAUUUGUCCAGUUCUUCUGCCCUCCUCUCCCUAAAUUUUUUACCUCGUCUUGAAAAUAAUAAUAGUAAAAUUGCACUGUAGCUAAGAUGUUCUCAGCCAGGUUGUAGCACAGGAGUAAGCCUUCUGCGCCAAGGCUUGAAAAAGAAAACCUCAGAGAAAAGAAUAUAGGGAGUUAAGAUGGAAGUGCUGAUACAACCUUAACUCUAGUGUCAUCCACAGCAAUGCUUUAAUUAUUCAAUCAAUUUCAGGGCCCUUAGGCUGGGAAAGGAUAACGCUCGGAUAUUAAAUCUGUCCCUCUUGCCAAUCUGUCACCGGUGUGUCAGAACACAUUGAUUCUUCUAGUCCUGCUUUUAUUAACUGUCUCCUCGAUGCGGCCUCUCAGUCUAUCACAAACUAACCUGCAAUUGCUGGCUGAGUGCAAGAUCCUGGAAAACCUCUGGGUUCUCUGCUGACCCCAUUUUUCAGCACUGUCAGUGCAGAUGUGAUGACCUGCUAUUACUGAGUACCAUUCAUCCCCACAUACCUGGCAGCUGGAAGACUAGACUGGAAGCCUAAUUUGUCUUCUCUCCCUGAGACCGGCGAUAGGUGCAUCCAAAAGAGGUGCACCGUGCCUAACUAACUGUGUUGUAAAUCCUGGGGCGUGAGGAAGAGUGGCCUGAGGGAUGUUCCUUCCAAAUCCCACUUGAUGAUGGUGUAUGGCCUGCCGAGCAGGAGCUGACCACCCUUGUGUUUUGUCUGCAGCGCAGUUGGCUUCAUCACACGUGCCACGUGCAGAUGGAUGGGCCCUGGGGCCAGCUCUGGCAGCCAAGGGGCUGCCUGGGGCAGGGAGAGGUUUAACAGCUGCUCACUGCAAAAACAGUUCAGCCCUGAAGGGCAGGCAUUUCCCUGUUCAGCUAGUGUCAAAGCUCCUAACCAUGGCCUGGCUGUCCCUAAAUAACUUUACCCUAUAGCCCCAGUAGCCCAUUGAAGGACAUAGUCACAAACAUCAUGCUCCAGAGACAGGCCCAGUAUUUUUAACACUGCAAAGCUGGGCACUGGCCAGUGGGGUUUUUGAGAAGCUGUGAGUUUUUACCAUUACUGGAAACUCUGUUGUAAAGAGAGGUCCUUUUCCCCUCUGGAGUCUGAGUAAUUGAGACACCUCUCUUGCUUGAUUUAUUUGCCUGUAAAAGUCCAGAUGCUUUUGGCACUGUUUCUUUUCCCUGUAGCGUGAGCAAAUAUUUAGCAGCAACUCCUCACCUUAAUUUCAUUAAUUAUCUGCUGGGGCUGGAAACCUCUGAAAUAAUGUCUGACUUUAAAAGAAAUCUCACAAGUAAAAUAAACACCAAGUGCCUCCA